rnacentral:tRNA from 1 species
AGGUCGAUAGUUUAACUGGCAAAACAGCGGUCUCCAAAACCGCAAUUAUAGGUUCGAUUCCUAUUCGGUCUA